AGAGUUUGAUCCUGGCUCAGGAUGAACGCUAGCGACAGGCUUAACACAUGCAAGUCGAGGGGCAGCAUAGAAGUAGCAAUACUUUGGUGGCGACCGGCGCACGGGUGAGUAACGCGUAUGCAACCUACCUAUCAGAGGGGAAUAACCCGGCGAAAGUCGGACUAAUACCGCAUAAAACAGGGGCACCGCAUGGUGAUAUUUGUUAAAGAGAUUCGCUGAUAGAUGGGCAUGCGUUCCAUUAGGUAGUUGGUGAGGUAACGGCUCACCAAGCCGACGAUGGAUAGGGGAACUGAGAGGUUGGUCCCCCACACUGGUACUGAGACACGGACCAGACUCCUACGGGAGGCAGCAGUGAGGAAUAUUGGUCAAUGGGCGGGAGCCUGAACCAGCCAAGUCGCGUGAAGGAAGAAGGAUCUAUGGUUCGUAAACUUCUUUUGCAGGGGAAUAAAGUGCAGGACGUGUCCUGUUUUGUAUGUACCCUGAGAAUAAGGAUCGGCUAACUCCGUGCCAGCAGCCGCGGUAAUA
rnacentral:rRNA from 1 species